rnacentral:rRNA from 1 species
GACGUAGGGGGCCAGCGUUGCUCGGAAUUACUGGGCGUAAAGGGUCCGUAGGCGGUGCGGUAAGUCGGGAGUGAAAUCUCUGGGCUUAACUCAGAGGCUGCUUCCGAAACUACCGUGCUAGAGUGCGAGAGAGGCAAGUGGAAUUGCGGGUGUAGCGGUGAAAUGCGUAGAUAUCCGCAGGAACAUCCGGGGCGAAAGCGGCUUGCUGGAUCGCAACUGACGCUGAGGGACGAAAGCUAGGGGAGCAAACAGG